GAAAAACAAUCGAAGUAUAUUGUUGAUGACAUGAUAAUUAAAAGCAAGAAAUUGAAAGACCAUGUAGCAAACAUAGCAGAAGCCUUUGAUAUCCUAGACAAAGUCAGCAUGAAACUCAACUCGGAAAAAUGCGCAUUUGGGAUAAAAGUUGAAAAUUUCUCUGAUACUUGGUGUGUGAAAGCGGAAUUAAAGUAAAUCUAGAGAAGAUAAGAGCAACCAUGGAGAUGCAAUCUCUAAAAACCAUAAAAGAGGUGCAAAGGUUAAAUGGGUGAGUAACCACCGUCAAC
rnacentral:misc_RNA from 1 species